AAAACAAAAAAUCACACCUUAGUUAGUUAGUUAGUUUCGAGAAGCUGGUCGGAUAGAAGUUGGUCGAGUCGAGAGUCAUGGUCGGGUAUCCGAUCCAUCGUUGGAGAAAGCUAGUCAGAUCGAGAUCAAUAGGCGGUCAAGGGUAGAAUGUCGUUCUCUCGACAAUAAGGCAAAGGAAACCUUAGUUGGGAGACUUAUGGGGAAAGCGCGGAUGCUAGAAACCGGUGUAGAGUUUGUUGCCUUUGUAAAAAUAGAUUUGAUGUUAUUGACUCGAUUUGGGCCUUAUGCUCUGGGAUC